CGCCGGUGACAAACCGGAGGAAGGUGGGGAUGACGUCAAGUCAUCAUGGCCCUUACGGCCUGGGCUACACACGUGCUACAAUGGUCGGUACAAAGGGUUGCCAAGCCGCGAGGUGGAGCUAAUCCCAUAAAACCGAUCGUAGUCCGGAUCGCAGUCUGCAACUCGACUGCGUGAAGUCGGAAUCGCUAGUAAUCGUGAAUCAGAAUGUCACGGUGAAUACGUUCCCGGGCCUU
rnacentral:rRNA from 1 species